rnacentral:rRNA from 1 species
UAGGGAAUCUUGCGCAAUGGAGGAAACUCUGACGCAGCAACGCCGCGUGUGUGAUGAAGGCUCUAGGGUCGUAAAGCACUGUCGUGAGGGAAGAUAAUGACGGUACCUCACAAGAAAGGACCGGCUAACUUCGUGCCAGCAGCCGCGGUAAUACGAGGGGUCCUAGCGUUGUUCGGAAUCAUUGGGCGUAAAGCGGGUGUAGGCGGCUUGGCAAGUCAGAUGUGAAAUCCCGGGGCUCAACCUCGGACGUGCAUUUGAAACUGCCUUGCUUGAGUAUCAGAGAGGUUCGUGGAAUUCCAGGUGUAGUGGUGAAAUACGUAGAUAUCUGGAGGAACAUCGGUGGAGAAGUCGGCGGACUGGCUGAAUACUGACGCUCAGACCCGAAAGCGUGGGGAGCAAACAGGAUUAGAUACCCCCGUAGUCC